rnacentral:rRNA from 2 species
GACGAACGCUGGCGGCGUGCCUAAUACAUGCAAGUCGAGCGAACCAAUAAGAAGCUUGCUUUUUGUUGGUUAGCGGCGGACGGGUGAGUGACACGUGGGUAACCUGCCUGUAAGACCGGGAUAACUCCGGGAAACCGGUGCUAAUACCGGAUAGAUUAUCUUUCCGCCUGGAGAGAUAAGGAAAGAUGGCUUUUGCCAUCACUUACAGAUGGGCCCGCGGCGCAUUAGCUAGUUGGUGAGGUAACGGCUCACCAAGGUGACGAUGCGUAGCCGACCUGAGAGGGUGAUCGGCCACACUGGGACUGAGACACGGCCCAGACUCCUACGGGAGGCAGCAGUAGGGAAUCUUCCGCAAUGGACGAAAGUCUGACGGAGCAACGCCGCGUGAGCGAAGAAGGUCUUCGGAUCGUAAAGCUCUGUUGUUAGGGAAGAACAAGUAUCGGAGGAAAUGCCGGUACCUUGACGGUACCUGACGAGAAAGCCACGGCUAACUACGUGCCAGCAGCCGCGGUAAUACGUAGGUGGCAAGCGUUGUCCGGAUUUAUUGGGCGUAAAGCGCGCGCAGGCGGUCCUUUAAGUCUGGUGUGAAAUCUUGCGGCUCAACCGCAAGCGGUCAUUGGAAACUGGGGGACUUGAGUGCAGAAGAGGAAAGCGGAAUUCCACGUGUAGCGGUGAAAUGCGUAGAGAUGUGGAGGAACACCAGUGGCGAAGGCGGCUUUCUGGUCUGUAACUGACGCUGAGGCGCGAAAGCGUGGGGAGCAAACAGG